UACAGAGGUGGCAAGCGUUGUUCGGAAUUACUGGGCGUAAAGGGCGCGUAGGCGGCCAUCUAAGUCAGACGUGAAAUCCCCCGGCUUAACCUGGGAACUGCGUCUGAUACUGGACGGCUCGAGUUUGGGAGAGGGAUGCAGAAUUCCAGGUGUAGCGGUGAAAUGCGUAGAUAUCUGGAGGAAUACCGGUGGCGAAGGCGGCAUCCUGGACUAACACUGACGCUGAGGCGCGAAAGCUAGGGGAGCAAACGGG
rnacentral:rRNA from 1 species